AUGAGAGUUUGAUCCCGGCUCAGAAUCAACGCUGGCGGCGCGCCUAACACAUGCAAGUCGAACGAGAAAGGCGGGGCAACCCGCUGAGUACAGUGGCGUACGGGUGAGUAACACGUGGGUUACCUACCCUCUGGUGGGGAAUAACCCUGGGAAACCGGGGCUAAUACCGCAUAAGCCCGCAAGGGGAAAGCCGCAAGGCGCCGGAGGAGGGGCCCGCGGCCGAUUAGCUAGUUGGUAGGGUAAUGGCCUACCAAGGCUGUGAUCGGUAGCCGGCCUGAGAGGGCACACGGCCACACUGGCACUGAAACACGGGCCAGACUCCUACGGGAGGCAGCAGUGGGGAAUCUUGCACAAUGGGGGAAACCCUGAUGCAGCGACGCCGC
rnacentral:rRNA from 1 species